GCGCGAAAACUCCGCAAUGCGCGAAAGCGUGACGGGGGGAACCCCAAGUGCCGUUGGACUUUUCGUUCGACGGCUUUUAUGGAGUCUAGGAAGCUCCAGGAAUAAGGGCUGGGUAAGUCGGGUGCCAGCCGCCGCGGUAAUACCCGCAGCCCAAGUGGUGGUCGCGAUUAUUGGGCCUAAAGCGCUCGUAGCCGGGUUGGCAAGUCCCUUGUGAAAUCGGGCGGCUUAACCGUUCGGCUUGCAAGGGAUACUGCCAGUCUUGAGGCCGGGAGACGUCGAGGGUACUCUGAGGGUAGCGGUGAAAUGCUCUAAUCCUCGGGGGACCACCAGUGGCGAAGGCGCUUGACGAGAACGGACCUGACGGUGAGGGGCGAAGGCUAGGGGAGCGAACGGGAUUAGAUACCCCGGUAGUCCUAGCUGUAAAGUAUGCGGGCCAGGUGUCUGGUGUUCCUCGAGAGCACUAGGUGCCGGAGAGAAGUCGUUAAGCCCGCCGCCUGGGAAGUACGGUCGCAAGGCUGAAACUUAAAGAAAGUUGGCGGGGGAGCACCACGAA
rnacentral:rRNA from 1 species